CACUUAUCGAGAGAGGUGGAGGGACUGGCCCUACGAAACCUCGGCGACAGACUUCUUACGUCGUACUGUGCCAAUUCCAUCAGACGUUUGUCUGAAAGAUGAGCU
rnacentral:ncRNA from 2 species